rnacentral:lncRNA from 1 species
CGCUGACCUAGAAGCCCAAUUCUACGAUGAUAGCAAAAUUUGCACUGGUGUUGCUAUUAGUUCGGUGUUGGACAGAGGCUAGUGGAGAGCUCAGUCAGGAUGGCCUUGUUAAACAAUCAGACAUCCCAACUCAGCUGAGAGAGCUGCAGGCUGUAGUGAAGAAGCUGGGCGAAGUGGCAGUGAGGCACACCAUAGCCCUGACGACCACUGAGUCCGAUGUGAAUGGUCUGGAAACGCGGCUGAGGGCCGGCGAGCUCAAGGCGGACGAUCAGAGGAAGCUGGCGGUUGGGCAGACGCUGCGCCUGAACUCGGUCACCUCUGACAUGAGAGAAGUGGAGUCCAGAGUGGAGACCAGCGAGAGGCAGUCACAGCAGCACCAGACAAAGAUCACCCAGCUGGGAAUGAAGAUGGAGGUUGCGCAGAUGCAGCUGCAGGCCAGCAAGAAACAGGUGGACAGACUCCAGGAGGAAAACACAGUCCAAGCGACUCAGCUGAGAAACAUGGAGGCCAAGUUGAAGGCUGCUGAAAACCAGCUGGAGCAAGUGAAGACUGUGAAUGAAGGUACUGAUUCAGCUUUUUAA